UCCGGUAUGGUGUAACGGUCAACAUUACCGCUUUUCACCGCUUUCUUACCUAAGCAGUUACGUAAGGAGCUAGUUUAAAGCGCGGUAGCUCGGGGUUCGAUUCCCCGUACCGGAA